UGCUCCUGGAUGCAGCUGCAUCUCGUCGUUCGUUUGUCUUGCUGUCCUAACGCGCCCCUUUUGUUCUUGUUCUUGACCUGAUUUCGUACGAAGUGCAAUGCCAGUGGGUUACAGAAUAGGCGUCUCGCUUACAUGUGAUUUAAACCUGUAGUUGGCGGUUUAAUUUUGCGACAAAAACUAACAUUACCUGCAGAUUGAUGAUAUGUACAUAAAUUAUUGUUAACACAGCUGUUUUUACGAAUGAAUUGAAAUCAGUUUCUUGUCUUUUCGUUUGCGGACAUCGAUCCUUCUGAAUGUGUCAAGAAAUGAGUGGGGAAGGCAAGUUGGGAGAGGCAAAAGGGAAAGGUAGCCAGCAACCCUCGUACAAUAUAUUGGCAUGAACAAGUGUUGUCAAGAAUCGAAUGUAAACUUUUGGUAAAAUCUC
rnacentral:lncRNA from 1 species